AUACGUAGGUGGCAAGCGUUAUCCGGAAUUAUUGGGCGUAAAGAGUGAGCAGGCGGUUAAUUAAGUCUGAGGUUAAAGCGUGGGGCUCAACCCCAUAAAGCCUUGGAAACUGAUUGACUAGAGGACGGGAGAAGUGAAGGGAACUCCAUGUGUAGCGGUGAAAUGCGUAGAUAUAUGGAAGAACAACAGUGGCGAAGGCGCUUCACUAGCCCGAAACUGACGCUCAGUCACGAAAGCGGGGGUAGCAAAUAGGAAUAGAUACCCCAGUAGUCCACGCUGUAAACGAUGACAACUAAAUAUUGCCGCGAGGCAGUGUUGAAACUAACGCAUUAAGUUGUCCGCCUGGGGAGUACGGUCGCAAGACUGAAACUUAAACGAAUUAACGGGG
rnacentral:rRNA from 1 species